rnacentral:rRNA from 1 species
GAAGAGUGCAGCCAAAUGCAGUAAUCAUUGCAAAUUGCAGAAUUCCGUGAGUCAUUUUUCUUGAAUGUAGGCAUGUUCUUGGGCCACCCCUAAGGACAUCAUUUACUCAGUGCAUCUUU